UUGUUCCCUUGAGGAAUAUUAUAAAAGUUGAAGCAUAUAAGCUUAUUGAUUAAUAUAAUCACCCAAUAUCAUUAAGAAAUUAAUUCCCUUUUCUCCAAUUUGAUCUUCUUUCCCCUCUCUUUUGAAGCCAUGAAUCACAAAACCCUCUCUUUGUUUUUCUUAAAUAGUUUUGUCAUAAUUCUCUUUCUAUCCUCAAUAGCCUUUGGGAGAUUGCAAGGUCAUCGAGGUGAUGACUAUAACAUUGGAGAAGGAUUUCAUGUGAUGAGUAAAGGAACUUAUCCUUCCCGUAUUUACGCACCCCCUUCAAUAUCACCACCCGCUGAUGGAUCUUGAGUGAGUAGCAAAAUAUCUAUUGAGCAAGAAAGUUGUUGAACCUUCACAUCUUAAGAAUUUUAUAUAAUAUUUGUACUUAUUUACAAAUGUUGUUUGAACUAUUGUAUUUUAAUUUGAACGGAAUUAUCUGAUAUUUAUUGCUGGUGAGCGGU